rnacentral:rRNA from 1 species
CCUACGGGUGGCAGCAGUGGGGAAUAUUGGGCAAUGGGCGCAAGCCUGACCCAGCAACGCCGCGUGAAGGAAGAAGGCUUUCGGGUUGUAAACUUCUUUUCUCAGGGACGAAGCAAGUGACGGUACCUGAGGAAUAAGCCACGGCUAACUACGUGCCAGCAGCCGCGGUAAUACGUAGGUGGCAAGCGUUAUCCGGAUUUACUGGGUGUAAAGGGCGUGUAGGCGGGACUGCAAGUCAGAUGUGAAAACCACGGGCUGAACCUGUGGCCUGCAUUUGAAACUGUAGUUCUUGAGUACUGGAGAGGCAGACGGAAUUCCUAGUGUAGCGGUGAAAUGCGUAGAUAUUAGGAGGAACACCAGUGGCGAAGGCGGCUUACUGGACUGUAACUGACGUUGAGGCUCGAAAGCGUGGGGAGCAAACAGGAUUAGAUACCCCAGUAGUC